UGCGACACCUGCAGGGGGAGGCCAGCCGCCAGAUCUGGGAUGGGGGCUGUUCUGGGGGAGAAUGACCCAGUUUAUUAAUUAAGGGGCUGGAGGAAAAGAAAAAAAGGAGGACUGUCUGACAAUUAAAGCUUAAAAGACACAAUUAAAUGGAUGUGAGGACCUUAUGUGGAUCAUGAUGGAAAAAACCAGCUGCACAAAAGACAUUUGUGACACGGAGCCGGACUCCACCAGCAACCUAAAGGAACCCCCUGGGAGCCCAGCCUGCCGGCACCUGCUGCUGUGAGACCUGGAGGGGCACUGAGGCCCUGAAGAAUCCCGUGAGGUGGGCCUUACAUUUACUGGUUUUGUUGGAUCAUGUUUUGGAUCUCAGCACAGGGAAUAGAUUGAUCCUAGCCCUUGCUUCCUUUUUCAGCAGCACCGCUCAUUCUUGUCCCACUUUGGAAUAUUGCUUUGUUUGGUGGCCAACUCCUCUGCCAAGGGGAAGCCAGGGUUCCCAGGCUGGGAGACUUGCCUGGAUGAGGGACCUGAUGUCUAGCAGCAGAUCUCACCACAACUCGUCUCUGGCACACUGGCUCUAAGCAGGAAGGAUGUUCUUGUGGCAGAACUAAAACCCACGACUGAAAAUAAGUUGAAUCACGCUGAUGAAAUGUGGAACGCAAAGGGUCUCCCCUGAUUUCCAAGUUCACCGCUGUGAACAUUGCAUAUGCUGUCAACGCAGAAACACCUAGAAGGUGCACGGGCCGUGAAGAAGGGCACAGCGGGAGCAGGUGGAGGGACCUUUCUGGGCAUUUGCAUGGAGCGUGAGAUUGGUGCGGGGACACGGACUGUGCCAUGGGCAGGACAUGAGCUAACAGCCAGCACUGAGCUUCUGUGUGAGGUCAUUACCAGCAGGUGACCCUCCCCGUGCUGUGUGCUUGUGCAGCCGCCGUGUCCUCGGCUGGAACUUGGCAAACAUCACCUUCGAGUGUGUGGGCAAGGUGAGCUUUGGGGGAAAUGCGAAUUUGGCAGUGAUGUGGCCGGGUGGGAAUUUAAUAGGGUGUCCCCAGUGGGGCCCUGCUGUGCCUUCUGCAGGCCAGCGAGCCCCCUCCAGGCCUGUUUCCCUCCACCCUGUCCUUAUUUCCUUUGAUGCCUGGGUUCGGAAACCAGUCACUCUGGAGACUGAAAACCUGGAGGUGUGCCGCCAGCUGCCCGCCUGGGGCCGCGGUAAGGGCUUUUCUUUGGGAGGGGGUGACUGUGGUUCUCUCAGAGAAGUGGACAAGCUACUACGGGGUGCUCACGAUCUCGCUCUACAGGCAGGAAGCUCAUUAUCCCUGUGACCCUCAUGCCAGGGAAACGGGCUCAUAUGCUCCCUGUUUUGUCUGCCCAGCAUCCCUGACUCUUGGGAACUCCCGCACCCUUCCACGUGACCCCAGUGGGGCUGUCAGUUGAGGGACUGACACAGGUAGGUCUGAGCGCCUGUUGUCCCGCGUGCAGUGUGACUGGGCCAAUGCUGAGGGCGGGACCAAGCAGGGCCCAGCAUCCUUGUCUUAGGAGGUAGAUGUUGAGGCCCAGAGAGGUUAAGUGACCUGCCUUAGGGCAUAGAGCUAGACCAGAAGCAAGGAGGCCCCCAAGGCUGUGGCAUUUACAGGGGGAAAAGCCAGAGACUGAACCCUGGGCCCACGAGCAAUGAUGGGGUUCUCACUCUGACCUAAGGGCCCUGGAAGUGGGAGAUGCGAGCGGGACCCUAAACACAACUGGAACCUUCGGUGAGAGACAGAGGCAGCCUGACAGCUCCCAUGGGCUGAGGAGGGUUUGGGUUGCAUGGGGUUGCUGGUGCAGAGUCACUGCCAGGAGGCCGCUGGGGUCACUGGCCGGGACCCCCAUCCCUGCACAGGGAGAAGGGCCCACGGGAGGGGACUCCAUGGUAGAGGAGUGGCCGGCCCUUCCCCGUUCUGCCUCUCCCCUCCCCUUCCCUGCCGGGUCUUGUGUGAGGAGAUGGCUGCGGAGUAUGGCCGCAGUAGGACCACUGGGCCACCGCCAGGAUGUUCUGGCUGGGUGGAGAUGGGCAUGGGAGCAUGUGUGGAAGAGGGUGUGUGAGCGUGUGCAGUAUGUGAGUACAUGGGUACACGUGUGUGAGUUGUGUGUGAGCGUGUGUCCUUCAGGACUGGCCAUGCAGAGGCCUGGACACGGCGGGGCUACAGGGGAGAUCCUGGAGGGGUAACGGGGGACAGGACAGAGAAGGAAACUGGGGCAGGCUCAGGCAAGUGCCCAUGUUAGGAUCUCACUGAUGGUGGUAUGGGAGGGGCAGGGACAGGGCUCUGGAGGGAGAAGACUGCCCAGCUGUCUCCCUGUGCGUGUGGGCGCCACCAGCCACCCAGGCAACACCACAGGGAGCGGGAGACGCCUGGGGGCCGGGGCGGGGGGAGGUGCUAAGAAUCUCCCCACUGGGCGGCUCCUGUGGUGGAGGUCUUGGCACACGCCUGCCUGGAAUUUAAACCUGGGAGGAGAUCAGAGAGACAGCCCGCACGCCGCAGCCCUCCAGCCGGAGCUGCUCUAAACCCCGACCGCAGUGAAGGGAGCCGGUGGGAUUUUUGCCCAAGGAACCACAGCACCAACCACAGGGCCCACUCUGCCUCCCUGGACGGUCCUGCUCAGCCCUCCCCACGGGACCCCUCCUCCCACCUGGACCUGGGCUGGGUACCGCUCAGGGAGGCGGCGUCGGGGAGGACAGUGGACCCAGGGGGGUCUGGGAGAGGCUGCUGUGACGGGCCCAUGGCCCCACAGGCCCCCCCACCCAAGGUUUGGGGCUUUGAGAUGUCCAGCAGUUUGGCCAGGUGGGUGCUUUGUUCAGCCUGCUCCUCCCAUAGACCAAGAGGUGGGUGGCCUGGUGGUGGGGUGUGCCAGCCUCUCCUCCUGCCCUGAGGCUUUCUCAGUUCUCUCUAAGACCACUGCCCAGCCCCCUCCCCGGCCUCCUGCCUCCAACCUGAUCCUCUCAUCCACGGCCGUGCAGCUGUGAGAGGAGGAGUUGCCUAGCCAAUAUUCCCUUCCCAACCUACAUCAGCCAGAACUCUGAUCUGGUGUCAGGUGGCACUCUGUCCCGAUAAAGGACAGAUACCAGGCAUGCUUGCAGUUUGGGUGGCCAUGAGACCCAGUGCUGUCCUUGAAAUCUGAGUGCAUUUCUGGGACCUACUUAGACUUUGCCUUCUUGCCUGGAAUGGUGAUGUAGUGCCUGGUGUUCUGGCAACCAGUUUGUGAAUAUAAGGAAGGAAACUACGUGCUAAGGAUCUUAAAGCAAGAAGAUAAGAAAAAAAGCCUGGGUCCCUGAACAAAUUCUGAAACUUUUCAAUGAGCUCUGGACUGUUGCUAUCUAGCCUGCUUGUUGAAAGGGAGGUGGGAGAGUCUUCUAGAACCUUCCAGCAGAGGGAAUUGCGGUGAAGAACAAUGGCAAUCAGAACAGCUGGAGGGUCCAGGGGCUGGGAUGCAUUCUCUUAUUCUUUCUGGUUCUUUGCCUGAGUCUUUCUGCUCUGUUCCCUCUGACCCUUGUUCUCCCCGAUGGAACCCUGUCUCUGUGCCAGCUGCUCCCUCCUCUCCUUCCCCGCACUGCCAGCCUUGCAUGGAGCCUGUGCCCUUGGCCCUGGGACCGAUCCUUCCUGGUCUGGUCUGGUCCAUGAGACCUUCUGGUCCCUUGUGUAGCCCUUGUACUUCUUUCCAAGUCUGUAUUGAGAUCCGGCCUCAUUUCCCAAGUGUUCACAAUGGACGGCUUCCACCACAUUUCUUGGUGUGCACAUGACACAUCUUGGUGUCCCAGGCUUGGCUUCCUAGGAAGCCAACUCCAAGGUGAAGUGUAGCAUGCCGGGGGUAGGGGAUGGGUUUAGGGAGGACCCUUGGGACCCAGCUCCUGGGAAAGGAGGGGAAGGAAGCGGAUUCAGCUGAGGAAGGCAUCCAGGUGAGAUGCAGGUCCAAGGCCAGUCCUGCUCGGCCCUCUGGAGAGCUCUGGAGACAAAAGACCCUUCAGGUUGGGAAACAUUAGGUCAAAAUGAUCGGGUCCUUCUACCCCAGACUGGAUCACAUUUCAGAUGCUGCUCCCCCUGGAAGGGUGUGGCCCAGGCACAGAGCCUCCCCACAGAGGCCAUCCCUGAAGGGGGUGCGGAUUGAAGGCCACCCACCCCCUUCCUUGUUGGUGUGUCUGGAAGGUGCAUCUCCAUUCCAUCCCGUGGGUCAGCUUUCCAGGCGUGGCUCUUGGAAACCCACCCUCUGAUGGGAGCAGAAGGUUCACACAUUCCCCAAGUGCCCAUCCAGGGGCCGCUCCUCCUCCCGGUGAGGGUCCCAAGGGCCUAGGGGUGUCCAGUGGGAGCAGUGGCCAGCACAGUGGAGGCCCGUUUGGGGGCUCUGAGUGUGGAAGAUGAGGUAGGCUUCCGUGCACCCCCAUGAAGGCCUGGUUGCAGCAGACUUCGGUGCCCAGAGGCAGGAUGCCAUAAGGGUAUGCUGCCAGAAAUGGGAACUUGGGAGAACGGGAAAGAGAGGCAGGGUGAUGUUUAGCUCAGACUAAACAUCACCCUGGGAGAUGGUGGGAGAA